GAGUUUGAUCCUGGCUCAGAACGAACGCUGGCGGCGUGCUUAACACAUGCAAGUCGAGUGCGCGUUCCGUAGCAAUACGGAAUGGCGCACGGCGCACGGGUGCGUAACACGUGGGUAAUCUGCCCUCUGAUGGGGAAUAACUCGCCGAAAGGCGAGCUAAUUCCGCAUAAUAUUCCGAAAAUCUCGGUUUUUGGACUGAAAGGCGUAAGUCGUCGGAGGAGGAGCCCGCGCACGAUUAGCUAGUUGGUAGGGUAAUGGCCUACCAAGGCUGUGAUCGUUAGCUGGUCUGAGAGGAUGGCCAGCCACAUUGGGACUGAGAUACGGCCCAGACUCCUACGGGAGGCAGCAGUGGGGAAUCUUGCGCAAUGGCCUAACGGCUGACGCAGCGACGCCGCGUGUGGGAUGAAGCUCCUCGGAGUGUAAACCACUGUUGCCCGGGACGAAUAGCUCGAUUAAUCGAGCCUGACGGUACCGGGUGAGGAAGCACCGGCUAACUCCGUGCCAGCAGCCGCGGUAAUACGGAGGGUGCAAGCGUUAUCCGGAUUCACUGGGUUUAAAGGGUGCGUAGGCGGGCAGGUAAGUCAGUGGUGAAAUCUUUGGGCUUAACCCGAAAACUGCCAUUGAUACUAUCUGUCUUGAAUAUUGUGGAGGUUUGCGGAAUAUGUCAUGUAGCGGUGAAAUGCUUAGAUAUGACAUAGAACACCUAUUGCGAAGGCAGCAAACUACGCAUAUAUUGACGCUGAGGCACGAAAGCGUGGGGAUCAAACAGGAUUAGAUACCCUGGUAGUCCACGCCCUAAACGAUGGAUACUUGACAUACGCGAUACACAGUGUGUGUCUGAGCGAAAGCAUUAAGUAUCCCACCUGGGAAGUACGACCGCAAGGUUGAAACUCAAAGGAAUUGACGGGGGCCCGCACAAGCGGUGGAGCAUGUGGUUCAAUUCGACGCAACGCGAAGAACCUUACCUGGGCUCGAAAUGCAGUGGACCGGGGUAGAAAUAUCCCUUUCCGCAAGGACUGCUGCAUAGGUGCUGCAUGGCUGUCGUCAGCUCGUGUCGUGAGAUGUUGGGUUAAGUCCCGCAACGAGCGCAACCCUUAUCCCUAGUUGCCACCGGGUCAUGCCGGGCACUCUAGUGAAACCGCCCCGGAUAACGGGGAGGAAGGUGGGGAUGACGUCAAGUCCUCAUGGCCUUUAUGUCCAGGGCUACACACGUGCUACAAUGGUCGGUACAAACCGUCGCAAACCCGUGAGGGGGAGCUAAUCGGAAAAAGCCGGCCUCAGUUCGGAUUGGAGUCUGCAACUCGACUCCAUGAAGCUGGAAUCGCUAGUAAUCGCAGAUCAUCACGCUGCGGUGAAUACGUUCCCGGGCCUUGCACACAC
rnacentral:rRNA from 1 species